rnacentral:lncRNA from 1 species
AACGUAGUUAUGGAAGUAUCUACAGCGGGAUCGCCGGGAAAUUAGUCGGACGGUGACCGGCUUUUGGACAUCCCGGCGAGUAGUUUGAUGAUUGGACGAAGAGGCUGAGGUAGUAUCUAGCACGCGAGGGGCACGUGGAGAGUGCCGUUUAGUGGUGAAUCCAACCGCGUUUUGACUGGUGUACUGCUGCUCAAUGGCUGAGGGUAAUUUUGUCAAUUAGGUAAGAAGAGUACACGAUGUACUCAAAAACAUCUCUUUUCUAUUUUAUUUUAAUUUUCUUUUUAGUGAAGCUAGUACUCAACUCAUAGUAAAACUAUAUAGGUCGUUUUCACUAUUUAGAAUUUUAGAUGCUCCUUUCUCUAAUUCCCUUCGCCCUUUGUAUAAAAAUAGUCGUUGUUUUCGAUAUUCAUCACAAUUUCUCUAUCAAAUAUUAGUUACUUUGACGGGAAAAAAUAGUAGUAUUAGUUGCCUUUACAGAGUUAAUUGAGUAAUUGAUAAAGUUAAUAAAUAACAAUGCUUCCAAAAUUAUACAUAUUGCGUUACUCGUAGAAAUUUUCAAUUUCAACUUGUUAGAAAAAUUGUUUACAGUGGGCAAUUGUCUACUAAUUCAGUUCCAACUUGUAACAAGUUAUAAAAGGUAGGGUGUAUGUUUGUACGGUAUAUUUAGAUGUUUUGGUUUAAUAUUUUUAAUAUUUGAUUUCUUAAAAUCAUAUACUAAUAUCUUUCAUAAUUAAAUUUGGUAUGGUUCGGUUAUUCUCCUUUUGGUUUCAGUUUAUUCGGUUUGAAUAUAGGGGAUUUGCAGCCGUACCCAAUUUUUGUGCCACCUUUUAACCUAUACCAUAUUUUUGAAAAGUAUUGAUUACGUAACCAACUAACAAAAAAUUUUUAAUAACAUGACCAUUAUACUCCUUCCAAAACAUAUUAAAACCCCGUCUCUCCUCUGUAUUCCCAGAUUCAAAUUCCAUAUCUCUUCCGUAUCUACCUUCAUCAGUCCGUCUCUUCGUAGAUCGCGUCUCGCAUUCAAAUUUCAUAUUCAAAGUCAAAUACAUUGUAAGCAUUUUUUGAAUUAUAUGUUUUCUGAUUGAUUAAUUGAAGUUGUUUGAACAACUUCACUGAUAUGCUGAAUUUGCAAUUCUAAAUCUAUUUGACGAUGAAUUCUAACAUUCUAAACUGAAGUUAUUUAGUUAACGAGCUUCCAAAUAACACAACGAAGAACAAAUUAUAUUAAAAUAUUAUAUAAUUGUUUUAAAACUUCGGCAUAAGUUGCUGAAGUUUUUUUGUUAAUAAUUAAAAGCUGAAGUUUUCCUCGUAAACUGGGUAAAAAACAAUAAAACAUAAAUUAAAUUUCAUACUGCAUCAAAAAACUUCGGCAUAGUUGCUUAAGAUUUUUAGUUAUUACUUAAAAACCACAAUAAUAAAACAUAAAUUAAAAUUUCAUACUGCAUCAAAAACUUCGGCAUAAAUGCUUAAGUUUUUUAGUAUUACUUAAAAACUGCAGCAAGAGGAGCUGAAGUUUUCCUCCUACACUAGCUAAAUUGAAAUUUCAUACUGUGUCAAAAACUUCAGAAUAGUUGCUUAGGUUUUUUAGUUAUUUCUUAAAAACUUUAGUAGGAGGAGCUGAAGUAUUCCUCCUACACUGGCUAAAUUAAAAAUUCAUAUUGCAUCAAAAAAUUUCGGCCUAGGUGCUGAAGAUUUUUACUUACUACUUAAAAACUUCAAAAUGAGGAGCUGAAGUUUUCUUCCUCCUCUGACUAAAUUAAAAAAUCAUAUUGCACCAAAAAUUUCGGCUACGUGCUGAUGUUUUUUAGUUAUUAUUUAAAAACUUCACGCUUGAACUAAAAAAUUUGAAUGGAAUUGAUAUUAAAAAAAAUGCAGAAAAAACUUAAAACAAAAACUUAAUAUUUCAUUAAAACAUAAACAAAGAUAAAAAAAUUACAUAAAUAACAAAAAAAAAUUGAUCAUCCAUAUCAUCAUUAUCAUCAUCGUUGUCGCUGCUAGAUGGACGAGCAUCUUCAUCUUCAUCUUUAUCAACAAGAUUAUCAGAUCUCGCAUAAAUCACAAGCUUAUCAAGCUUGUUGUUGAUUUCUUUGAGCUCCAUGUCGUACUUUUCUAUGACCUCAUCAAGCUUCAACUCAAAUGCCUCAAUGAUAUCUUGCUUGAUCUUGUCCACUAUUUGCCUGAUGACAACAUCCAUUUUUUUGCUUUUUGUAUUUUAUGUCUGCCAAUAUAUAUGUGUUUGAGUGGAUAAACUCACAAGGAAUAACGUGCUUAUAUAUGGGAAAAAAAUUUCUGCAUGUUAUAUGAAAAGGCAAAAAUUUUUUAAAGGUUGUCUAAUGAAAAGCGUGCAUGAAUACGAUAGGAAUGUAAUUAUACACAAACACAUACCCCAAACCCAAUAUAAUUAAUACUUUAAGUGUAUAGGUUACUGCUGUAUACUAGCCAAUUAAUGCUAAAACAUGCUCAAGUUUGUUGAAUUCAUUUGCUAAAACUUCAGCUCAAUGUGAUGAAGUUUCUUAGUUCAUUUCUAAAACUUCAACACUUACUGGCUGGAGUUUUUUCCCCUGCAUUGAUGAAUCACCAUCAUACAAAAACUUCAGCCCAAUGUGCUGAAGUUUCUUAGUUCAUUUCUAAGAAAUUCAGCAUUUAAUAAGCUGAAGUUUUCUAUGCGAAAUUAAUUAAUUAUGUCAUACAUCUUUUACCAAAAAACUUCAGCAGAAGAUGCCUAAGUGAUUUAGUUGUUCUAAAAACUUCAGCACUUAACAAGCUGAAGUUUUCUGUGCAUGAUUCAUUAAUUAUGCCAUACAUCUUUUACCAAAAAAACUUCAACAGAAGAUACUUAAGAAACAACCUAAAAAUUCUUUUGUUCACUUUCUUAAUAAUUUCCACUAAACAUGAAUCUGUAGGAUGAGUUCGAUUUGCGUUGUUAUAACUUUCAAUGGGAGUUGGACUCCUGAUUUCAAAUGCUUGGAUCAUGAUACAAAACUUGUUCUAGUUAAUAAGGACAUAUCAUUCGAUACUUUCCUGAAGAAAAUUAAUGAAAUUGCAAAUAUUGAUUCAACCAGAUAUGCAUUAAAAGUAUGGUUUGAAAUCAAACUAAAUACAAGCAAAGGAAUGCUUGUAACUUCAUAUGAAGAACUCAGUACGUGUAUACAUUUGCUUACAAUUGAUUCAGCCUACAAGAAUUGUUAUUUCGUCAUUGAAAAAAUACAACCUUCAAAAUCUGUAGCAUUCAACUAAUCUCUUGCAUAUGCGAUAGAUUUAGAACCUUUUGCUGACUAUCAACAUGAACCAUGACAGCCAUUAAUGGAAAUAGACAAUGGGAAACAACCUUCUAACAUUACAGCGGCUUCAGAAUACAUAGUGCUGCAACAUUACCCCAUCCUUCAAUAAUUUCAUACCAGUUUGUCAAUGACCAAGAAGAAGAAGGGCAACUAAUAAUGCAAAUUGACAACGAACACACAAUUCAACAAAGCUUUUUGUUACCUUCCGUAAUGAUAAGCAACACUGAAGGCGAAGUAAACAUGGAGCUUAUACUAAUAACAUCAAAUAUAAUUGAAGAAAUUGCUGAAAGUUCUAGUGCUCCUCAGAAAUCAAGAAAAAGACCGAGGAGAAAGUUGAAAGAAUCUCCACCAUGUAAAAUACUUAGGCACGAUGCAUUGCAUGAGGAAGUAAGAAUUGGAUCCAUCUUUGAGAACAAGAAAAACAUGACUAAAUUUUUCAGCAGCUUGGAGAUAAACCAAAAAGUUGAAUUCACUGUUGUUAGAUCAUGUUCCAAGGGAUACGAGCUAAAAUGCAUCAUGGACAAAUGUUGUUGGAAUGUACGUGCCACCAGAAUAAAAAAUUCCACACUUUUCAGGGAGAUAAAAUAUCAUAACAUCCAUGAAUGCUCGGUUGAUGCAAGAAAAUCAGAUCAAAAGCAUGCUACAUCAAAUUUUAUAAGUGAACAAAUUAUAGAACACGUUCGAGACAAAAAAAUAGAGACUACACCAGCCUUUGUAGAAAAUGAAAUAAAAAAAUUAGAAUUGACAUUGGUUAUCACAAGGCAUGGUAUGCCAUUCAAAAAGCUAUUGCUUGCAUAAGAGGACCACCUGAAGAGAACUACCAGAUUCUUCAUUCAUACAUACACAUGAUGGUGACCAAAAACCUAGGAACGUACACAAGCAUAAAAAGAGAUGUGCAGAAAAGGUAAGCAAAACAAUACUAACCAUCAGCCUAAAGUUUCAAAUGUUACUAUUUUAAAAACUUCACACCUUAUGAUUUUUUUUGUUUGAAUGUACAAAUUUGCUUACAUGUUCGUUGCUCUUGCGACAUCAGUAGCUGGUUGGUCCUACUGUGGACCCGUUAUUGCAGUAGAUGCAACAUUUUUAAAGUUAAAAUAUCGUGGUGUUCUAUUUGUUGUUGUAUCAAACGAUGGAAAUAAUCAAAUCUAUCCUCUAUGUUUUGGUAUAGCAGAUUCAGAAAAUAAUGAGGCAUACAUUUGGUUCUUCGG